rnacentral:RNase_P_RNA from 1 species
AGCAGGAUAAGAGAGGAAAGUCCGGACAACACAGGGCACCGUACUUCUUAACAGGAAGGUCUCUGCCAACUGGUAGGGAACAGAAAGUGCAACAGAAAAUAUACCGUCCGCCAGCUGGCGGAUAAGGGUGAAAUGGUGAGGUAAGAGCUCACCGGUCCCGGUGUGAACCGGGAUGCUUGGCAAACCUUGCGGGUUGAAAGGUCAAAUAGGUUCUGCUUUUUCCCGAUUCUUAUUGGGAAAAAAGAGUUGCCCGCUCAAUUUUUAGAGUAGAAUGGGUAGACCGAUCGAUCCUGGUGGUGACAUCAGGGCUAGAUAAAUGAUAAGAGUCCGCCAGCUGGCGGAUACAGAAUCCGGCUUAUGGUCUGCAU